rnacentral:lncRNA from 1 species
GUACAUGAUUUUUGGAUGACUUGGGUAAUGCUGCAAAGCCCGGACAUGUGACAGAAAAUCCUGUUUGUGAAUACCAUUUAAAGGAGGAUCCAUUUGGAUGGCAAAUUGUGGUGGCUGCCCCUUCCUGACAAAUUGCUGGGAGUUUUGAAGGACAAAGGAUGCAAAUUUCAAAUAUGACGGGCUUAAAAGAGGCUACUCAGGAGGGAGAUGGCUUUAUGUUUUCUGAACCAGGAUACAAGUAACUCCCACAGUACAGAAUACAGAAUCUGUCACCAAACACAGAGGCCAAUAAUGCAAUGGCUGGAGGACAAAAGAGCAUCAGAGUAAUUGGGUGGACAUGUUGGAUAUUAAUGAUAAUUCUGAUGGUAUGGAGUCACCACACCAGUGGACAAGGGCAAGGUAAGUUCUAAUGUUUUCUGAUAAUCAACUGUUUAUUGAUGACUGAAACAAUGUGGAGGUGAGGGCAGGACAUCUG